UACGAAGGGGGCUAGCGUUGCUCGGAAUCACUGGGCGUAAAGGGUGCGUAGGCGGGUCUUUAAGUCAGGGGUGAAAUCCUGGAGCUCAACUCCAGAACUGCCUUUGAUACUGAAGAUCUUGAGUUCGGGAGAGGUGAGUGGAACUGCGAGUGUAGAGGUGAAAUGCGUAGAUAUUGGGAGGAACACCAGUGGCGAAGGCGGCUCACUGGACCGGUACUGACGCUGAUGCGCGAAAGCGUGGGGAGCAAACGGG
rnacentral:rRNA from 1 species